rnacentral:tRNA from 1 species
GGCCUGAUGGUCUAGUAGUAUGAUUCCUUGUUAGGGCACGCGAGUGGCAUUUCGAGGAGGUCCUGGGUUCAAUUCCCAGUUAGGCCC